UACGUAGGGUGCAAGCGUUAAUCGGAAUUACUGGGCGUAAAGCGUGCGCAGGCGGUGAUGUAAGACAGUCGUGAAAUCCCCGGGCUCAACCUGGGAACUGCAUUAGUGACUGUAUAGCUGGAGUGCGGCAGAGGGGGAUGGAAUUCCGCGUGUAGCAGUGAAAUGCGUAGAUAUGCGGAGGAACACCGAUGGCGAAGGCAAUCCCCUGGGCCUGCACUGACGCUCAUGCACGAAAGCGUGGGGAGCAAACAGG
rnacentral:rRNA from 1 species